UACGUAGGUGGCAAGCGUUGUCCGGAUUUACUGGGCGUAAAGAGCGCGCAGGCGGUCGGAUAAGUCGAAUGUGAAAGCCCCCGGCUCAACUGGGGAGGGUCAUUCGAUACUGUCCGACUCGAAGGCAGGAGAGGGAAGCGGAAUUCCCGGUGUAGUGGUGAAAUGCGUAGAUAUCGGGAGGAACACCAGUGGCGAAGGCGGCUUUCUGGCCUGUUCUUGACGCUGAGGCGCGAAAGCUAGGGGAGCGAACGGG
rnacentral:rRNA from 1 species